GCAACUUUGUUUAUUGUUUAUUGUUCCUUUUUCUCUUUUUCUCUUCUUCUUUGUUAUUUUUAUUUUUCCAAAAUUAAAAAAGUUUUAAUAUUUGUGUGCCUUUUUGCAGUCUGUUGAAGGAAUGAAAGUCGUGUGUCAUGAGCUGACACAAGCCACCAAUGAUCCAGAAGGCAGUGCAAUGGAUGAACUUAUUAAAGAUGCAGACAAACUUGUUUCAUGCCUUGCAAACAAGGUUGCCAAGACCUUUGAUUUCAGCUUGACAGGAGCAUCAUCUAGAUCUUGUAAAUAUGCUCUCAACACCCUCAUGCAGACAUUUCAAAACAAGAGACUGA